rnacentral:rRNA from 1 species
UACGGAGGGUGCAAGCGUUAUCCGGAUUCACUGGGCGUAAAGGGCGCGUAGGCGGCUCAUGAAGGCUGUGGUGAAAGUCCGGGGCUCAACCUCGGAUCGGCCGUGGCGACUCGUGGGCUGGAGCACUGUAGAGGCGGGUGGAAUUCCGGGUGUAGCGGUGGAAUGCGUAGAGAUCCGGAAGAACACCAAUGGCGAAGGCAGCUCGCUGGGACGGUACUGACGCUGAGGCGCGAAAGCGUGGGGAGCAAACAGG